rnacentral:miRNA from 1 species
AGGGUUUUUGGUUUUCUUUU